rnacentral:rRNA from 1 species
GACGGAGGAUGCAAGUGUUAUCCGGAAUCACUGGGCGUAAAGCGUCUGUAGGUGGUCAAAUAAGUCAACUGUUAAAUCUUGAGGCUUAACCUCAAAAUCGCAGUCGAAACUAUUAGACUAGAGUAUAGUAGGGGUAAAGGGAAUUUCCAGUGGAGCGGUGAAAUGCGUAGAUAUGGGGAGGAACACCGGUGGCGAAGGCGGCCAUCUGGACGGAUACUGACGCUGAGACGCGAAAGCGUGGGUAGCAAACAGG